ACCGGAAGUAGGGAAAAGUUUGUUCCGGACAGGUAGAAGCAAAGUGCAAUGGCGGAGACUUAAAGUAACCUAUCUUGCACCGUACCUUUUGUACUAAUUCCAAAAAGAAACGGCCAUAUUUGUAAUUUCAUAGCUUUCCCAGCAAUUAAACUAUUAAUAGGCGUUGGAUUUGGGCUCGGAGAGAUGAGGGGUGGAAUUUACUGUGAGGAAGGGCAGCAAUUUUGUGUGUGCUAUGCACUUCACGGAGGAUGAAGUUCGCGUCCAUCCACAGUCCGGUCGCAAAUUUCUUACACCACAGGCUGUGCCUUCGAGGUUUUCAUGGAAUAACUGGGGAGAGGUUAAAUCGUGCCAGACGAGGACUGCAAAAAGCACGGUCUGUUAUGAGCAGGGGGAGAAACCCGUUGAAAUGGAGUGUGUUGAUGUGGCGCUGCUGCUGAGGCAGGAGCACGAUUACAACAGCCGCCCUCCUCCGGUGAAGUCACCCCUGGUAUCUGUUACCAGAUCACACCAAGCUAAGCCAGUAAUCAUCAGCUGUCCCUGGAUUUGUCAGUGAUCUAUGCUGAAAUUUGUCACAAAAGAAGAUGAGGUGGCAGAACCAGCACUGCUCCAGAGACACCAGCAGCUGUACAGGAUGCAGCAUUGAGGACCGUCCAUCUCUACAGAUUUUCUCUUGAUGUUGCUGGACAAUGAAGAACAGACAGGAACUGGACAGCUUGUGAUGGCAGUAACUGAGCAGAACAGCUGCUUCUACAAGCGACAGCCCAAAUCACACUGAGAUCAUCAUGAGACUGUUCUUCCAGGCCUGAACCCAGAGCGGCUUGUGUUGCCAAUGUUUGACCUAUGCAGUGUAUCUGCUUGGCAUCUAAACAGUAGACCUCAGGUAUUCAGGAACUUCUCUUGCAGUCGUAUACAUGAAAGCUGUCCAACACAGUCCAGUUACUCGAGUCUAAACUGUUGCUUUAAACUGAGAUUGUCAAAGUUUGAACAGUCUGCAAGGGUGGUCUGCAAUCUUCACUGUACCAGGGGGGAAAUAUUUGUUGUAUUAGUAUAUGAUAUUGUAGUAUAUAACAACAUAUUGUCUAACAGUAAAACCUUCUCUGUGGUUCCAUUUGGCUAAACAGGCUCCACAAAUUAGUGUUAAAUCAUAGUAAACAUAGUAUAUGGCAC